AGAGUUUGAUCCUGGCUCAGGAUGAACGCUGGCGGCGCGCCUAACACAUGCAAGUCGAACGGCACCCCUCUCCGGAGGGAAGCGAGUGGCGAACGGCUGAGUAACACGUGGAGAACCUGCCCCCUCCCCCGGGAUAGCCGCCCGAAAGGACGGGUAAUACCGGAUACCCCGGGGCGCCGCAUGGCGCCCGGGCUAAAGCCCCGACGGGAGGGGAUGGCUCCGCGGCCCAUCAGGUAGACGGCGGGGUGACGGCCCACCGUGCCGACAACGGGUAGCCGGGUUGAGAGACCGACCGGCCAGAUUGGGACUGAGACACGGCCCAGACUCCUACGGGAGGCAGCAGUGGGGAAUCUUGCGCAAUGGGGGGAACCCUGACGCAGCGACGCCGCGUGCGGGACGGAGGCCUUCGGGUCGUAAACCGCUUUCAGCAGGGAAGAGUCAAGACUGUACCUGCAGAAGAAGCCCCGGCUAACUACGUGCCAGCAGCCGCGGUAAUACGUAGGGGGCGAGCGUUAUCCGGAUUCAUUGGGCGUAAAGCGCGCGUAGGCGGCCCGGCAGGCCGGGGGUCGAAGCGGGGGGCUCAACCCCCCGAAGCCCCCGAACCUCCGCGGCUUGGGUCCGGUAGGGAGGGUGGAACACCCGGUGUAGCGGUGGAAUGCGCAGAUAUCGGGUGGAACACCGGUGGCGAAGGCGGCCCUCUGGGCCGAGACCGACGCUGAGGCGCGAAAGCUGGGGGAGCGAACAGGAUUAGAUACCCUGGUAGUCCCAGCCGUAAACGAUGGACGCUAGGUGUGGGGGGACGAUCCCCCCGUGCCGCAGCCAACGCAUUAAGCGUCCCGCCUGGGGAGUACGGCCGCAAGGCUAAAACUCAAAGGAAUUGACGGGGGCCCGCACAAGCAGCGGAGCAUGUGGCUUAAUUCGAAGCAACGCGAAGAACCUUACCAGGGCUUGACAUAUGGGUGAAGCGGGGGAGACCCCGUGGCCGAGAGGAGCCCAUACAGGUGGUGCAUGGCUGUCGUCAGCUCGUGUCGUGAGAUGUUGGGUUAAGUCCCGCAACGAGCGCAACCCCCGCCGCGUGUUGCCAUCGGGUGAUGCCGGGAACCCACGCGGGACCGCCGCCGUCAAGGCGGAGGAGGGCGGGGACGACGUCAAGUCAUCAUGCCCCUUAUGCCCUGGGCUGCACACGUGCUACAAUGGCCGGUACAGAGGGAUGCCACCCCGCGAGGGGGAGCGGAUCCCGGAAAGCCGGCCCCAGUUCGGAUUGGGGGCUGCAACCCGCCCCCAUGAAGUCGGAGUUGCUAGUAAUCGCGGAUCAGCAUGCCGCGGUGAAUGCGUUCCCGGGCCUUGUACUCACCGCCCGUCA
rnacentral:rRNA from 1 species